UCUGCUUCUACUUCUGGGGGUCUCUACUAUUGGAGUACCAACCUUGCUGGCCCAAAAUGGUCACCAUUUGCUUCAUGGAUAAUUGGCUGGUAUAUUGAGAUGAUUUCUUUGGAGCAAUUCUUGACAACAUUUGUAGUUGAGGUCUUUAGAAUGGAAGAAUGUAUUUCACUAAUUUUUGUAUACAUUUCUUGUUUUGUAUUUAGUGAUAAAGGAAUCUGAAUUGGGCAUAAAUUAUGUUGUGAUAUGAUUUCUUAAGCCUAGACUAGUAGACUAAAUAUUGUAAUUACAUUUGAGUAAUUAAUAAAAAUCUAUUUAUGUUA